AUGGAAACACUUUCUCUGUUAAAUCCAGUGAAAUUCAAGGAGAGCCUGCCAACAGUGACCACAUCCACCCUAGUUCGUAGCUGUAGAGAUAUUGAAAAGGCAAUGAAAUCAUUAAACCAACAUACAAAAUAUCUGGCAAAAAGCAUGAAAAGAAAGCAAUGUGCGAUAAGACAUACUCUGGAUAGAAGAUGCAGCAGUAAACAGUUAGCUGCCAGGUCAUCUUUCCCUAAUACCAGAGUGAGAUGUGAGACCAAAGAUUGCCGGAUGCCUUUUAGGAGACUUGGUGAAGGCUGCAUAAUCAAAACAAAAAUAUGUCAAUAA
rnacentral:rRNA from 1 species